UUGAACAAAAGAAUUACUGUCUCUUUAUCUAUUAUUGAAUUUAACUUUUAAGUGAAAAGGCUUAAAUUUUUUAAGGGGACGAUAAGACCCUAUAAAGCUUUAUAAUGAAAUAGUAUUUUAUAAAUUUAAUUUAUAAAAAUAAAAUAAAAUAACCUUAUUUUGUUGGGGCGACAAAGAUAUAAAUAUAUUAUAUAACUGUCAAAAAAUGAUACAUAAAUUUAUGGAUAAUAAAAUGAUCCUUAUUUAAAGAUUAAAAGACUAAGUUACUUUAGGGAUAACAGCGUUAUUUCUUUUGAGAGUUCUUAUUGAAAAAGGAGUUUGCGACCUCGAUGUUGAAUUAAAGAAUCUUUAUAGUGCAGCCGUUAUAAAAAGAGGGUCUGUUCGACCU
rnacentral:rRNA from 1 species